AUUGAACGCUGGCGGCAGGCCUAACACAUGCAAGUCGAGCGGAUGAAGGGAGCUUGCUCCUGGAUUCAGCGGCGGACGGGUGAGUAAUGCCUAGGAAUCUGCCUGGUAGCGGGGGAUAACGUCCGGAAACGGGUGCUAAUACCGCAUACGUCCUGAGGGAGAAAGUGGGGGAUCUUCGGACCUCACGCUAUCAGAUGAGCCUAGGUCGGAUUAACUAGUUGGUGGGGUAAAGGCCUACCAAGGCGGCGAUCCGUAACUGGUCUGAGAGGAUGAUCAGUCACACUGGAACUGAGACACGGUCCAGACUCCUACGGGAGGCAGCAGUGGGGAAUAUUGGACAAUGGGCGAAAGCCUGAUCCAGCCAUGCCGCGUGUGUGAAGAAGGUCUUCGGAUUGUAAAGCACUUUAAGUUGGGAGGAAGGGCAGUAAGUUAAUACCUUGCUGUUUUGACGUUACCAACAGAAUAAGCACCGGCUAACUUCGUG
rnacentral:rRNA from 1 species